GCUCAGGCUGAGGUGAAGUGUGAGUUUGAGAGAGUAAAGAGAGCGUCCCCUUCACCCACUCACAAGAUAUCGGCUCUGUUUCAAAACCUAGUGAGCUUUUCACACGCACACUCUCAAUGUGAAGACUGUUUCAAAAGUGGCUGAUGAACCGGAAGUCUCACACAGAAAACGGCUAACUUCCACAUUGAACAAUAAGGUGGAUAAAUACAUUUCUAUAACCAUCCUGAGAUGAUGACAAUCUGACAGCUGGACAAAGAGAGAGCUGAUGACAGACAGUACAGUCUUGAGACUAAACCAGAAAGGAGAGGGAAACUGGAAUGUUAAAGAGGAGACGCUGCAUGCCAAGACAGGUGAACCCGAUGCCCCAGAGGAAUGGAGGAGGUGACCUUUGACCCAGGCAGGGGUUUGUACCUGUGGCCAUGGCUGCGGCCUCUGGGGGAGCUGCGGAGAGGAACCCUCCAGUUAGGGCCCAGAGUCGCGUACAUGCGGCCCCUGUUUGCACAGUCGCCACAAUGAGUUCAACCCACACUGACACUACAGAUCUCUAAAUGGUAAACGCUCUAAAUUGGAUUACACAGUUUUAACAUAAACAAACUAAUGAACUUAAUGUGAUAUUUGCCAGUCAUACAUAAACAAGUGGGAGUUCUGCACCCCCCCCCCCCCC